rnacentral:tRNA from 2 species
GCCUGCUUAGGCAAAAGGCAAAGCCUCCUGUCCUAAGAAACAGGUGCGUGCGGGUUCGACUCCCGCAGCAGGUA